rnacentral:rRNA from 1 species
UAUGGAAUCUUCCGCAAUGGGCGAAAGCCUGACGGAGCAACGCCGCGUGAGUGAUGAAGGUCUUCGGAUCGUAAAACUCUGUUAUUAGGGAAGAACAAAUGUGUAAGUAACUAUGCACGUCUUGACGGUACCUAAUCAGAAAGCCACGGCUAACUACGUGCCAGCAGCCGCGGUAAUACGUAGGUGGCAAGCGUUAUCCGGAAUUAUUGGGCGUAAAGCGCGCGUAGGCGGUUUUUUAAGUCUGAUGUGAAAGCCCACGGCUCAACCGUGGAGGGUCAUUGGAAACUGGAAAACUUGAGUGCAGAAGAGGAAAGUGGAAUUCCAUGUGUAGCGGUGAAAUGCGCAGAGAUAUGGAGGAACACCAGUGGCGAAGGCGACUUUCUGGUCUGUAACUGACGCUGAUGUGCGAAAGCGUGGGGAUCAAACAGG